UCCCCACCUAGUGUCCGGGGAGCCCUGGGAAGAUGUGCCCUGAGUUCCUCUCAGGUCCAAACAAAUCUGUGCAAAUGACAGUUCCAACAACAGGGGUUGGCAUCAACUGAGAAACACCACAAAGAAAUCUCAAAGAAGGUGCCGCAUUGACUACCUGGGCCAGUCCAUAGAAGAUUCCCAUGGAAAUGAGUGUCAGAGCAAAGAGUGCGUCACUACUCCUGGAAGCAACUCAACAUCCCCCAAGUUCAAGACCCCAUAAGCUUCAUCAAGCCUUUACAAAGUUUGGUCCAAUGCUGCAAACACCAUCCAGAAGGAAAUAUCAUUCACCCAGUGGUUUCCCUCCCUCCUGACAACAUAUGCAAAUGUAGAAAAAGACACUUACUCUUUCAACAUAGGAUCACUUUUCCAUUUUUAUCAAUUCAAGCUCUUUCUCCAGGUCCCUGUAAGAAUUCACCAGCACUUUGUAGCAGAUGAUAGUUCCAAAAAAAUAAUAUCUGCAAAGUGUCACUUUUGAACUGCAGCCUUCGAAUCUUCUGCUCCAAUUCCAUGGUCAGACUCUUCAGUUCUGCUCUUUCCUUCUUCAUAACUUGGGGCUUCCCUCCUCGCUGUGACAGCUUAGAGACAAGCUGUUCUUGGUCUUGGAUUUGAUGUUUCAGUAAACUGAUUUCUUGGUCCCUCUUCUCGAGCUUCUGUUUGCCAUCUUCUGCUU